AUGGAAGCAAACAUACUAGUGUGGAAUGUAAGGGGGUUAAACAACCCGGCACGGAGAACGGUGGUGCGCAAGCUAGUGGGACAGCAUAAUGUAUCCUUGUUAUGUAUGCAAGAAUCAAAAUUAGCAGUGGUGGAUCUAGGGAUUGUGAGAGAAUGCGGGGGUGCAGAAUUCAAUUCCUUCGCGUAUACCCCAGCAAGCGGCACAAGGGGAGGCAUCAUUGUGGCUUGGAAGGAUGAGCAAUUCCAACUACCUAAUGUAAUGAUAAGGGACCAAUUCAUUGCUGUGCACGGAACUACAAGAUCAGGAGAUACCUUUGGUCUGCUGACGGCUUAUGGCCCUCAAGAGUUUGCAGCAAAGAUCGAGUUUUUGGCAGAGAUGAAAGACACAGUCAUCAAUUUCUUCCCGGCCGGCACCCCUGUCUUCUUAGGUGGAGAUUUCAAUCUAAUAAUGCAAGCUGCGGACAAGAACAAUGCAAACGUCGACCGCCGAUGUAUGUCUGCCUUCCAAAACUUCAUCAACGAGUUGCAGCUGAAAGAGCUAUACCUACAUGGUCGACGUUACACAUGGUCCAACGAGCAGAGGCGAGCAACGAUGGUUAAAUUGGAUCGAAUCUUGUACAACGAGGAGUGGGACAUGGCAUUCCCAGGGUGUUUGCUGCAAGCCCUCUCCACAGAGAUGUCGGAUCAUUGUCCACUGCUCCUUUCGUGCGAUGCCGGCUUCCAACCGAACAAAAGAUUCAGAUUUGAGAACAGAUGGGUCUAG
rnacentral:rRNA from 1 species